rnacentral:rRNA from 1 species
UACGUAGGGCGCAAGCGUUGUCCGGAAUUAUUGGGCGUAAAGAGCUCGUAGGCGGUCUGUCGCGUCGGCUGUGAAAUCCCGAGGCUCAACCUCGGGUCUGCAGUCGAUACGGGCAAACUAGAGUAUUGCAGGGGAGACUGGAAUUCCUGGUGUAGCGGUGAAAUGCGCAGAUAUCAGGAGGAACACCGGUGGCGAAGGCGGGUCUCUGGGCAAUAACUGACGCUGGAGGAGCGAAAGCGUGGGGAGCGAACAGG